rnacentral:rRNA from 1 species
CCAAGGAGUCUAACAUGUGCGCGAGUCUUUCGGUCUUGACUAGGCCAGAAAGGCAAAAUGAAAGUAAGCGGUACGAUUGUCAGCCUUUUUUGGGUUGACAAGCAGUACCAACCCUUCGAUGUGGACUACCACUUGAAGGCGUUGGAGCGUACACGUUGGUACCCGAAAGAUGGUGAACUAUGCCUGGGCAAGACGAAGCCAGAGGAAACUCUGGUGGAGGUCUGUAGCGAUUCUGACGUGCAAAUCGAUCGUCAGACCUGGGUAUAGGGGCGAAAGACUAAUCGAACCAUC